UACGAAGGGGGGCUAGCGUUGUUCGGAAUUACUGGGCGUAAAGCGUGCGCAGGCGGUUUUGUAAGUCUGUCGUGAAAUCCCCGGGCUCAACCUGGGAAUUGCGAUGGAGACUGCAAGGCUAGAAUCUGGCAGAGGGGGGUAGAAUUCCACGUGUAGCAGUGAAAUGCGUAGAGAUGUGGAGGAACACCGAUGGCGAAGGCAGCCCCCUGGGUCAAGAUUGACGCUCAUGCACGAAAGGCGUGGGGAGCAAACGAGG
rnacentral:rRNA from 1 species